CGCCCCCGGACAGCCCCCCUUCCGCCCCCCGGGCCUCCAGCUUGGUCUUGCCCCACCCUGCCCAACCCAGCCAGGUCCUGUCCACCUGCCCUGGGGCAGGAUCCCAGGGGAGCCUAGCCGGGCUUGGGCUAGACUUCACCCCAUCCUGGGGCGGAGGUUGGGAUGAGUAGGAGGAAAGCAAAACAGCCAGAAGGGGUGACCCCUGCAUUUGCUUCUUGUUCCUCAACCUGGCCUCCAGCCCAAUGCCUCAAGCCCUCAGCUCUUCUCAACUUGGUCCCUCUCUCCAUUCUCUACCUUCUUUAUGUAUCCCAGGCUGUGUGUGCCUGGCCAGCCAGUAAGGAUGGGGUGAGUAUGGGGAGGGGGGGAGUGAGUCGGGCUCUGUCUGGCCGGCACUUUGCCAGUCUCCCUGUCUCCCGCCCAUGCUAAUGACUCCCUGACUGACACCUGGCAAGACCAUUGGGUUGGGGGAGGCCAGG
rnacentral:lncRNA from 1 species